ensembl:snRNA U6 U6 spliceosomal RNA
GUGCUCUUUUCAGCAGCACAUAUAUUAAAACUGGAAAGAUACAGAGAUUAACACGGCCCCUGUACAAGGGUGACACAAAAAUUCAUGAAGCAUUCCAUAUUUUU